rnacentral:rRNA from 1 species
AUGAUCUCAAGUCAGACAAGAGUACUCGGUGAAUUUAAGCAUAUUAAUCAACCGAAGGAAAGAAACUUACC